UAAGGAAUAUUGGUCAAUGGACGCAAGUCUGAACCAGCCAUGCCGCGUGAAGGAUGAAGGUCCUCUGGAUUGUAAACUUCUUUUAUCUGGGACGAAAACGGGAUUUUUAUCUCAAUUGACGGUACCAGAGGAAUAAGCACCGGCUAACUCCGUGCCAGCAGCCGCGGUAAUACGGAGGGUGCGAGCGUUAUCCGGAUUUACUGGGUUUAAAGGGUGCGUAGGUGGGCUUAUAAGUCAGUGGUGAAAUCUCCGAGCUUAACUUGGAAACUGCUGUUGAUACUAUAGGUCUUGAAUUAUCUGGAGGUAAGCGGAAUAUGUCAUGUAGCGGUGAAAUGCUUAGAUAUGACAUAGAACACCAAUUGCGAAGGCAGCUUACUACAUAUAAAUUGACGCUGAGGCACGAAAGCGUGGGGAUCAAACA
rnacentral:rRNA from 1 species